rnacentral:rRNA from 1 species
GAUGAACGCUGGCGGCGUGCCUAAUACAUGCAAGUCGAGCGAACAGACGAGGAGCUUGCUCCUCUGACGUUAGCGGCGGACGGGUGAGUAACACGUGGAUAACCUACCUAUAAGACUGGGAUAACUUCGGGAAACCGGAGCUAAUACCGGAGAAUAUAUUGAACCGCAUGGUUCAAUAGUGAAAGACGGUUUUGCUGUCACUUAUAGAUGGAUCCGCGCCGCAUUAGCUAGUUGGUAAGGUAACGGCUUACCAAGGCGACGAUGCGUAGCCGACCUGAGAGGGUGAUCGGCCACACUGGAACUGAGACACGGUCCAGACUCCUACGGGAGGCAGCAGUAGGGAAUCUUCCGCAAUGGGCGAGAGCCUGACGGAGCAACGCCGCGUGAGUGAUGAAGGUCUUCGGAUCGUAAAACUCUGUUAUUAGGGAAGAACAAAUGUGUAAGUAACUAUGCACGUCUUGACGGUACCUAAUCAGAAAGCCACGGCUAACUACGUG